GACGAACGCUGGCGGCGUGCCUAAUACAUGCAAGUUGAGCGCUGAAGGUUGGUACUUGUACCAACUGGAUGAGCAGCGAACGGGUGAGUAACGCGUGGGGAAUCUGCCUUUGAGCGGGGGACAACAUUUGGAAACGAAUGCUAAUACCGCAUAAAAACUUUAAACACAAGUUUUAAGUUUGAAAGAUGCAAUUGCAUCACUCAAAGAUGAUCCCGCGUUGUAUUAGCUAGUUGGUGAGGUAAAGGCUCACCAAGGCGAUGAUACAUAGCCGACCUGAGAGGGUGGUCGGCCACAUUGGGACUGAGACACGGCCCAAACUCCUUCGGGAGGCAGCAGUAGGGAAUCUUCGGCAAUGGGCGAAAGUCUGACCGAGCAACGCCGCGUGAGUGAAGAAGGUUUUCGGGUCGUAAAACUCUGUUGGUAGAGAAGAACGUUGGUGAGAGUGGAAAGCUCAUCAAGUGACGGUAACUACCCAGAAAGGGACGGCUAACUACGUG
rnacentral:rRNA from 1 species